UCAAUAGGAGGUGAUAUUUGGUAUAUGGGAGUGGCUAAGCCAUCUCUUAUUGAAGAUGAUGAUGAUGGAAGGAGAGUAGAUACAGUAAAAGCAAAGUCUGGUCACUUGUACAUUCCACCUGAGGUGGAAGAGAUUCGCGUCUUCAGGUUCUCGGGACCAAAGUUUGUGAAACUGCACCGUGGUACAUGGCAUGCUGGACCCUUGUUUAGUGGCAGCUCCAUCAUGGAUUUCUACAACUUAGAACUCAGCAACACAAAUGUGAGUCAGUGAGUGAUGGUUUUAAAUUGUUAAUACAAUGUAGUGUGAUGAAUGACUUGACAACAUUGUUGCUGUUGAUGAUGUUGUUCAGGUGGUGGAUCACACGUCACAUGAUUUCACGAAGAAUAAUGGAGUCAGCUUCCGCUUUGACACCUAAGAAGAAUAAUGGAGUCAAUCCUAUCAUGAGUGUGCUUCUGUUUUUCCUUGUGUGUAAUGUAAUUGACUAAUUGCCAAUACCAAUACUGUGUAUUGUGUACUGUGCACACAAAUUGGUUAUAUGCAAUAAAAUACCGGUUUAAGUUAACCAACCCUGGUUCAUAAAAUCCUAAUAAUUCUUGAAUUGGUUUUCUAAAAAAAGAAAGCAAAUCAUGAAUACUAAAGAAAUUUGAUUACAUCAUUUGGUGUUUCUAGUAAUCUGCUCUGUUGCCAGUUAUAAAGUAGUAUAUUUAAUUAUUAAGCAUUAUUAAAACGAAUAAUACGUAUAAUAUAAUCGUAGCCGUUGGAUAUAAUUACACGUGCGACUAUCUUUCGAUCGCACUAAAAGCAAAGGAAAGGCUAAAAAGAAGCUCGAGGGUCGAGAUCGAUCAAAAUUGUAAAUCAAUCAUAACACAUUUUAACUAGCUCUAACACAAACUCUAAAAUUUUAGAUUAAUUCAGACUUGGUAACAAUUUUGACUUAACUACGAGCGUCAUUACCAUUCUAUGCAUCGUUUUACACGAAUUACACUCACAUCUCAAAGAUACAUGUCCACAUGCUACGUACCGAGUAUCGACCACACCCGAUAAACAACGGGACAAGCCCUAGAAUCCCGAAAAGGCAAAAAGGUCCCUUGUUUUCUCUCUUUUUUCAUGUUAAACACAUACUUUUUAAAUUAACAAGAAAGCCCAGAUAUUUUUGGUGUUUUCUUACUGAAUCUAGACUUGAAGAGAAUUUUAGGAAAACUCCAAAAAGCUCGUACGCUAAUUCUUAUCUUCACUUCCAUUUUUCCUGUGGUGAUGGUGAGAGUUCAAGUGUUCCAACGAUGGCGAAAUCCCCGGUAGAGGUGAAACUGAUCCCGAUCGAAGCUACUCCUGAGAAUUUCGCAGACUAUGGUCAAGUCAUCGAAGCCUCUCGUGACGGUGCAGGUUUCGGUCCCAACGACGCUCAACUGGAUCUCUCCAGAGGAAUCCCACGGUACUCUUUAUCCAGUUUACUAAAAUUUCGUUAAUACCUAAGAUUAUUGAUUAAAACACAUGCUUCUUCUAAUCAUAUUCGUUGUUGAUUAAUGUCUAAAUUCCUCAUCUUUGAUGCUAAUUUAUCAAUCAAGCUAUGUGAUUUGUAUUGGUUCCUAGAUAGUCGUGUUGAUCAGUUCCUAAUAACAAAAGACUUAUAGAUUUUGUAGGAACGUACUUAUUUACUACAAAAUUCAACAAAACGAAAGACCAAUUCAAACUAGACUCUUCUUACUACUUCAAGUAAUUAACUGACUUCAUUUACAAGUCCUAGCAUUAGGUUUCAGAUUUGUUUGUUCUUUUUUUUUUUUACAAUUAGCUAAUCAUCAUAUUCUCAUUAUGUUUAAUACUUGGGACAGGUUCUAUAUAAUGCGGAUCAGAGAUACACCCUUUGACUUUUCCGUACUCACUCACCACGCGAGCGUGACACAGUGUCUAGGAUCAAUAGGAGGUCAUGUUUGGUACCUUGGAGUGGCUAAACCGACACUUAUUGAAGAUGGUGAUGAUGGAAAGAUGGUAGAUAAAUUGAAAUCAAGGUCUGGUCACUUGUACGCUCCUCCUGCGGUUGAAGAGAUUCGCGUCUUCAGGGUCUCGGGACCAAAGUUUAUUAAACUGAACCACGGUACGUGGCAUGUUGGACCACUCUUCAGUGACAGCUACAUGGACUUCUACAACCUUGAGCUCAGCAACACAAAUGUGAGUGAGAAUGGUUUUAUUGUUAAUAAUGUAUGGAAUGGUGAUGAAUGACUUGUUUUUAUUGACGACAUUGUUGUUGUUGAUGAUGAUGUUCAGGCGGUGGAUCGCACGACAUAUGAUUUCAUCAAAAAUAAAGGAGUCACCAUCCGAGUUGACCCCAACGAUGUUGACACAUCGUCCUCCUAACUCAAUCUUAUCAUCAGUGUGUGCUUCUGUUUUCAUGAAUAAAUUGAGCAAUCGUGAAUAAAAUUUGUAUGCAACUGUGUACAAAUUGUUUUUUUUUUUUUUUUUUUUUUUUCAAUAAAUAUCGAAAAUACUUGUUUUCUCAUAUUUUCAUGUUAAUCCCAUACUUUUAAAAUUGACAAGAAAACCUAAAUAUACUUUGGUGUCUUCUGAUUGAUUUUAAAAACAUUUUGAGUGGAUACAAAAAGAGCUCAAGAUACAAUCCUCUUUAUUUUUAUUUUCUUGUGGUGCGUUUCAACGAUGGCGAAAUCUCCGGUGGAAGUGAAUUUGAUUCCUAUCGAAGCUACUCCGGAGAACUUCGCAGAGUAUGGUCAAGUCAUUGAAGCCUCUCGUGAUGGUGCUGGUUUCGGUCCCCACGACGCUCAACUAGAUCUCUCUAGAGGAACCCCACGGUACUCUUUUCCCCGAUUCUCUUAAAUUUCGUUAAUCCUUAAGAUUAUUUGUUAAUCUUCGUUUAAAUUCCUCAUUUUUGAUGCUAAUUUAUCAAGCUAUGUGAUUUGUGUUGGUUCCUAAAUACUAGUGUUGUACAAGGUAUUUAUAACAAAGUCCUAGCUUUUAGGUUUCAGAUUGGUUUGUUCUCAAUGUGUAAUAUAAUUUGACGGCAGGCUCUAUAUACUUAGGCUGAAAGAAACACCCUUAGGGUUUUUCAAGAUCACACAUCACGCAAAGGUGACACAGUGUCUAGGAUCAAUAGGAGGUGAUGUUUGGUAUAUGGGAGUGGCUAAGCCGUCUCUUAUUGAAGAUGAUGACGAUGAUGGAAGGAGCGUAGAUACAGUAAAAUCAAAGUCUGGUCACUUAUACAUUCCACCUGAGGUGGAAGAGAUUCGCGUCUUCAGGUUCUCGGGACCAAAGUUUGUGAAACUGCACCGUGGUACAUGGCAUGCUGGACCCUUGUUUAGUGGCAGCUCCUUCAUGGAUUUCUACAACUUAGAGCUCAGCAACACAAAUGUGAGUGAAGAAUGGUUUUAAAUUGUUAAUACACAGUAGUGUGAUGAAUGACAUUGACGGUGAUGUUGAUGCUCAGGUGG
rnacentral:lncRNA from 1 species